UUUUCAUAGCUGCUUAGUGAGUUAGGCUGGCUGUUUUAGGGAAUGAGAUUUUAAUCCUUUGUUCUAACUGGUGCUGUUCACUUCGCAGGACAACAUCCUUUCCUUAAUGAGGCUGGAGUCAAUGACCUGCCUAUCCUUAGGCAUCCUUUUAUGAAACUGACUCGGAUGGUUGCUUGUAGGGCCCCUUGUUCACCUUGGAGUAGCCCUGUUCAAAGAAAGGCAACAUGUGAUUCCUUAACGAAACCUUUCCUCCAUCCCUCACUCAGUCCAUUUUCCACAGAAUCAGCCGUUUCUGUACUCAGCAAAGUCAGCAAAUGCCUCAAGCUGGACACCAGUUAGAAAGGGAACCGCUGCAAGAUACUUUCCCCAAAACCCUCUGUUUGUGAAACUGAACAUAAAAAAUAAUGGCCUACACAAACAUCGAAAACAGAAGUACGGUUUAUUCAAACUGUGAGGAAUAUCUGGUGCAAACAUCUACACACACCAGGAAGACAGAGAAAAAACACAAAAGAAAAAGCUACAAUUACAAAUAAUUUAAUAGUCAGUGAUAUUGGUGUUAAUUCACAUGAUUUGUGUGUGUGACCAGAGUGCAUGGUCAGAAAUGGUCCUUAUUCGAUGGAGCUCAAAUUCAAGGAGCUGCAGUUGGCUGAACUUGCAGAAUCCCUCGUAAAGAUGAUGAAGGUGUUGCAAGAAGGUAUUGGUGAGUAGGCCUGGCCUACUUAUUCAGCAAAUGUAAGAUUUGUUCCAGAAUCCAGGUUUUGAAGAGGUGAAGGCUAGAAACAGGUUUUUAUACCUGGAUUCUGGCUGUUCAGUUAUCAGGAUCAGUAAGCUUUGCACAAUGAGGAAGGAGAGAUCACAUCCAGAACGAGACAUAGCUCAAGUGAGUACAGUAUAUAGUUCAGGGAAUUUGGAGGCAGCCUAGGAAUUUAGUGCAGAAGGGAAGAGGUGCUUUUUUUAAAAAAUUGGCUCAUAGUUCCUUAGGUUUUUUAAAAAAAUAGGAUAAGUUGAAGGCCAUGAUCAAAGGCUCAGCAGAAAAGAGUGACAUCAUGGGAAGUGGAUUGUUUGAUGAUAGUCAAAUUAGUAGUAAUCUAUUAUGGAUUACUUUCAGAUUGAAAGUAAAUAGGGGAAUUAUUUACAGUCUACAAAUUAAAAAACCAGAACAGAAUUUUUAAAAAUCAAAUUGAUAACUAUGUAAUUAAAAUAGAGUUGCUGGGUCAGGCAAUGAGCUGUAACUACAUGAUGUGGGAGCUGGUGGUCCACAUAGUGGCUCAUAGUGUAUCAAGUGUUGGUUAGUUGAGGGACUCCAGCUCAGACACUAUGACACAUCAGGGACGGGGAAGAGUUACCUGAAUGCGGUGUUUCAGGAGGCAGUUCCAACCCUUGGAUUGAAUUUGGUCAGUGGUCGGGGGACAGGAAGGAGUGCCUGUAAGUGAGGCAGAUAGAGGGAUACAGGAGGUAGUGUUAAAAGGAGCCUCUGCACUUGAGCCUGUCUAAAAACUUUGCAAUGCUUGCUCUCUGUAGGAACGUAUCCCCUGUGGUGCGCUGUUGUGGGCGUCACAGAGAUGUGGCAAGGAGACCAGGGUUGGCAACUGUAUAGCCAAGGAUACACGUCCUAUUGAAAGGACAGGCAGAGGGGUGGCAUUAUCCCAUUAGUAAGAAAUUAAAUUAAAUCGAUAGCAGGAAAUGAUGUUGAGUCAAAGUGCAGAAACUGAGUGGCUAAAGUUAGGACACUUUAGAGGAGUAAAAGCUCUGAUGAGAUUAUGUACAGGCCUCCUAGCAGUAGUCAGGACAUAUAAAAGACAUGUCAGAAAGGCACUAGUACAAUAAACAUGGGGCUCUUCAAUAUGCAGGUGGACUGGGAAAAUGAGGUUGAUGGCAGAUAUCAAGAAAAGGAAUGGGUGAUUAGUCUGCGAGAUAGUUUUUAUUUUGAGCAGCUUGUGGAAGAGGUUACUAGGAACAGGCAAUUAUAUAUUUAGCGAUGUGUAACGGGGCGGAGAUGAUCAAAGCACUGAAGGUGAAGGAAUCCCUAGGGGAUAGCAACUAUAAUAUGAUAGAAUUCUCCCUGCGGUUUGAGGGGGAGAAUUUAGAAUCUGAUGUAAUGGUAUUCCAACUGAGUCAAGGUAAAGAUAUGAGAGAGGAGCUGGCUAGUGUUGAUUGGAAGGGGAGCCUAGUUAAAAAGGAUGGCAAAGCAGCAAUGGCAGGAGUUUCUGAGGAUAAUUUAGGAGGCACAGCAGAAAUUCACCCUGAGCAAGAGGAAACGUACUAAGGGGAGGAUCAGGCAACAAUGGCUGACAAGGGAAGUCAGGGAUAGCACAAAAGUGAAAGAAAAAGCCAAACAAUGUGGUGAAGAUUAGU